rnacentral:rRNA from 1 species
GAUGAACGCUAGCGGCAGGCCUAACACAUGCAAGUCGAGGGGUAGAGGAAGCUUGCUUCCUUGAGACCGGCGCACGGGUGCGUAACGCGUAUGCAAUCUACCUUGUACUGAGGGAUAGCCCAGAGAAAUUUGGAUUAAUACCUCAUAGCAUUAUGAUGUGGCAUCACAUUAUAAUUAAAGUUCCAACGGUACAAGAUGAGCAUGCGUCCCAUUAGUUAGUUGGUAAGGUAACGGCUUACCAAGACAAUGAUGGGUAGGGGUCCUGAGAGGGAGAUCCCCCACACUGGUACUGAGACACGGACCAGACUCCUACGGGAGGCAGCAGUGAGGAAUAUUGGUCAAUGGGCGCAAGCUUGAACCAGCCAUGCCGCGUGCAGGAUGAAGCAUCUAUGGUGUGUAAACUGCUUUUAUACGGGAAGAAACACUCCUACGUGUAGGAACUUGACGGUACCGUAAGAAUAAGGAUCGGCUAACUCCGUGCCAGCCGCCGCCGUAAAAC